rnacentral:snRNA from 1 species
GUGACCAAUGCUUGUUUCGGCAGGACAAAUUACAAUGAUACGGAGGUCAGAAUGGCCCCUGAGCAAGCAUGACAUGCAAAGUCAUAAAGCAAUCCGUGUCUUU